rnacentral:tRNA from 1 species
GGGGAUGUAGCUCAACGGUAGAGCACUGUCCAAUACCAUCCCUUGACCAUUUCCCGUUGCUGGGUGCAUGGGCCGUCGGUUGUUGGUUAUCGACUAUUAAUCGAGUGGUUGCGGGUUCAAGUCCCGUCAUCCCCA